AAAAAGAUAAACCUUAGUUUCCGUGUAGAACGUUUGACCGUCCAUCUUAUUUGAAAAAAUUAUAAAAAAAUUAAAAAAAAGUCACGCAUAAAAUAUUAAUAAUGUUUUAUCCUCUAACAACAAUGAAAAUACAAAUUAUAAAAAAAUUUCAUAUAAGACGGACAGUUAAAGUUGGACAUGGAAACUCAUGGUUUGAUUUUUU
rfam:Oryza glaberrima chromosome 1 Oglab01_0231_2, whole genome shotgun sequence.